AACGAACGCUGGCGGCAUGCUUAACACAUGCAAGUCGAACGAUGGUCUUCGGCUUUUAGUGGCGCCCGGGUUCGCAAACCGUUGGAAACCGCCUUUGGGAUCGGCCUUACACUUGGAAAUGACUGCUAAUAACGGGUGAUAUUGCUAAGACCAACGUUGUCUGGCCCGAGGCUGAGCCCGAGUCGGAUUAGCUUGUUGGUGGGGUACAGGCCUACCAAGGUGACGAUGCGUGGCUGGGCUGCGAGGAUGAUCAGCCGGACUUGGACUGAGACACGGACCAGACGCGGACGAGAGGGAGCAGUAUAGAAGAUUAUGCACUGGGCGCUAGCCUGGUCCAGCAGUGCCGCGGGUGUGAGGAAGGCCUUAGGGUUGUGAAUCUCUUUUUCCCGGGAAGAUAGUGACGGUACCGGGUAAAGAAGCCCCGGCUAACUACGUG
rnacentral:rRNA from 1 species